rnacentral:rRNA from 1 species
GAUGAACGCUGGCGGCGUGCCUAAUACAUGCAAGUCGAGCGAACGGACGAGAAGCUUGCUUCUCUGAUGUUAGCGGCGGACGGGUGAGUAACACGUGGAUAACCUGCCUAUAAGACUGGGAUAACUUCGGGAAACCGUAGCUAAUACCGGAUAAUAUUUUGAACCGCAUGGUUCAAAAGUGAAAGACGGUCUUGCUGUCACUUAUAGAUGGAUCCGCGCUGCAUUAGCUAGUUGGUAAGGUAACGGCUUACCAAGGCAACGAUGCAUAGCCGACCUGAGAGGGUGAUCGGCCACACUGGAACUGAGACACGGUCCAGACUCCUACGGGAGGCAGCAGUAGGGAAUCUUCCGCAAUGGGCGAAAGCCUGACGGAGCAACGCCGCGUGAGUGAUGAAGGUCUUCGGAUCGUAAAACUCUGUUAUUAGGGAAGAACAUAUGUGUAAGUAACUGUGCACAUCUUGACGGUACCUAAUCAGAAAGCCACGGCUGACUACGUGCCAGCAGCCGCGGUAAUACGUAGGUGGCAAGCGUUAUCCGGAAUUAUUGGGCGUAAAGCGCGCGUAGGCGGUUUUUUAAGUCUGAUGUGAAAGCCCACGGCUCAACCGUGGAGGGUCAUUGGAAACUGGAAAACUUGAGUGCAGAAGAGGAAAGUGGAAUUCCAUGUGUAGCGGUGAAAUGCGCAGAGAUAUGGAGGAACACCAGUGGCGAAGGCGACUUUCUGGUCUGUAACUGACGCUGAUGUGCGAAAGCGUGGGGAUCAAACAGGAUUAGAUACCCUGGUAGUCCACGCCGUAAACGAUGAGUGCUAAGUGUUAGGGGGUUUCCGCCCCUUAGUGCUGCAGCUAACGCAUUAAGCACUCCGCCUGGGGAGUACGACCGCAAGGUUGGAACUCAAAGGAAUUGACGGGGACCCGCACAAGCGGUGGAGCAUGUGGUUUAAUUCGAAGCAACGCGAAGAACCUUACCAAAUCUUGACAUCCUUUGACAACUCUAGAGAUAGAGCCUUCCCCUUCGGGGGACAAAGUGACAGGUGGUGCAUGGUUGUCGUCAGCUCGUGUCGUGAGAUGUUGGGUUAAGUCCCGCAACGAGCGCAACCCUUAAGCUUAGUUGCCAUCAUUAAGUUGGGCACUCUAAGUUGACUGCCGGUGACAAACCGGAGGAAGGUGGGGAUGACGUCAAAUCAUCAUGCCCCUUAUGAUUUGGGCUACACACGUGCUACAAUGGACAAUACAAAGGGCAGCGAAACCGCGAGGUCAAGCAAAUCCCAUAAAGUUGUUCACAGUUCGGAUUGUAGUCUGCAACUCGACUACAUGAAGCUGGAAUCGCUAGUAAUCGUAGAUCAGCAUGCUACGGUGAAUACGUUCCCGGGUCU